rnacentral:rRNA from 1 species
UACGGAGGGUGCAAGCGUUGUCCGGAAUCAUUGGGCGUAAAGCGCGCGUAGGCGGCCCGAUAAGUCCGCUGUAAAAGUCAACGGCUCAACUGUUGAAAGCCGGUGGAUACUGUCGGGCUAGAGUACGGAAGAGGCAAGUGGAAUUCCUGGUGUAGCGGUGGAAUGCGCAGAUAUCAGGAGGAACACCUAUAGCGAAGGCAGCUUGCUGGGACGUUACUGACGCUAAGGCGCGAAAGCGUGGGGAGCGAACAGG